CACCCUCAGGGACCCCCUCCCGCCCGACUCUGGAAGGGGGAAAGGGGUAAAAACUUACCUUUUUCCAGCGCUGGGCGGAGAGCUCUCCUCCUUCUCUCCUCCUCCGUUACGCCCCGCCGGCUGAAUGCGCACGCGCGGCAAGAGCUGCGCGCGCAUUCAGCCGGUCUCAUAGGAAAGCAUUUACAAUGCUUUCCUAUGAACGCUGGCGUGCUCUCACUGUGAAAAUCACAGUGAGAAGCACGCAAGCGCCUCUAGUGGCUGUCAAUGAGACAGCCACUAGAGGCUUUGGGGGAAGGCUUAACCCAUUCAUAAUUAUAGCAGUU